UACAGAGGAUGCAAGCGUUAUCCGGAAUUAUUGGGCGUAAAGAGCUCGUAGGCGGUUUGUCGCGUCUGCCGUGAAAGUCCGGGGCUCAACUCCGGAUCUGCGGUGGGUACGGGCAGACUAGAGUGAUGUAGGGGAGACUGGAAUUCCUGGUGUAGCGGUGAAAUGCGCAGAUAUCAGGAGGAACACCGAUGGCGAAGGCAGGUCUCUGGGCCACUACUGACGCUGAGAAGCGAAAGCAUGGGGAGCGAACAGG
rnacentral:rRNA from 1 species